rnacentral:siRNA from 1 species
UUAAGGGGACUUCGACCGGAU